AACGUAGGAGACAAACGUUAUCCGGAGUUACUGGGCGUAAAGGGCGUGUAGGUGGUAAUGUAAGUCUGGCGUGAAAUUUUUCGGCUUAACCGGGGAACUGCGUCUGAUACUGGAUGGCUUGAGUUCGGGAGAGGGAUGCGGAAUUCCAGGUGUAGCGGUGAAAUGCGUAGAUAUCUGGAGGAACACCGGUGGCGAAGGCGGCAUCCUGGACCGAUACUGACGCUGAGGAGCGAAAGCCAGGGGAGCAAACGGG
rnacentral:rRNA from 1 species